rnacentral:misc_RNA from 1 species
AGUGGUGGUUGGCGUGUAUUGGCGUGUCGGUUCCCUGCUCGGGCAGCGACGGCACCUCUUGCACGCCUCUUCAUUUGUCGGAUCAAGCAAUGCUUGUCCAUCGUCGGUUAUCCUGUGCUAAAUACCAAUAAAGAGGGCAUUACGUCGGCUGAAACGAUCGCAUCACCGUCCAGCGUUGCUGCUCCUCGUGGGCGUGCGGCGCGGGACGAUCACCGAAGCACUCUCCGUGUUUCGCACCACUUUUGCCGGCAACGGCAUUUGGGGCGACGACGCACGGCGGGAUGCUCGAUAUCUCGGGUACGGAAAAUCUUGYGGGUAGGAUGCCGUCGGCAUCCGAUCACCACAUAAUUGCGUUCUACGCUAAUUGCGGACGACGGUUGGCUCGGCUUGCGGUCUUGCACUCGCUGCUCGACCGCUGCCGUUUCGACGUCGGUGAGGAAUGC